GCUCCAGUGGCGCAGUUGGUCAGCGCGCGUUGCUUAUAAAGCAAUACCAAGGUUGUGAGUUCAAGCCUCACCUGGAGCA